rnacentral:rRNA from 1 species
ACACAUGCAGUCGACGACCCGGGCUUCGGCCCAAUGGGUGAGUGGCGAACGGGUGCGUAACACGUGAGAAACCUGCCCCGGAGAUCGGGAUAACCCAAGGAAACUCGGGCUAAUACCGAAUACCUUCUGACCACCGCAUGGUGGACUGAAGAAAUGUUCUGGCGCUCCGGGAGGGUCUCGCGGCCUAUCAGCUUGUUGGUGAGGUAACGGCUCACCAAGGCAUCGACGGGUAGCUGGUCUGAGAGGACGAUCAGCCACACUGGGACUGAGACACGGCCCAGACUCCUACGGGAGGCAGCAGUGGGGAAUCUUGCGCAAUGGGCGAAAGCCUGACGCAGCAACGCCGCGUGAGGGAAGACGGCUCUCGGGUUGUAAACCUCUUUCAGCAGGGACGAAAUUGACGGUACCUGCAGAAGAAGCGCCGGCCAACUACGUGCCAGCAGCCGCGGUAACACGUAGGGCGCAAGCGUUGUCCGGAUUUAUUGGGCGUAAAGAGCUCGUAGGCGGUUUCGUAAGUCGGGUGUGAAAACUCAGGGCUCAACUCUGAGACGCCACUCGAUACUGCGAUGACUUGAGUCCGGUAGGGGAGCAGGGAAUUCCUGGUGUAGCGGUGAAAUGCGCAGAUAUCAGGAGGAACACCAUUAGCGAAGGCGCUGCUCUGGGCCGGUACUGACGCUGAGGAGCGAAAGCAUGGGGAGCGAACAGGAUUAGAUACCCUGGUAGUCCAUGCCGUAAACGUUGGG